rnacentral:ncRNA from 1 species
AGAGGAAGCCGGUGCGAUUCCGGCGCGGUCCCGCCACUGUCACCGGGGAGGAGACUCCCCGGGAGCCAGGAACUC